CUCCUCUGCAUCCCGGGGGAGCCUCCAUCGGUGGAGCCCAACUCAAAAACAUGGGCUCUUGUCAAGGAGAUAUCUGAUCAGAUCCCAAAAUGAGCAAUUAUGAGGGCUCACGGUCGGAGCCAGGCGCCUCUGGCAGAGGAAUUUAAUUUGAAGUGUUCUAUCUCAAGCCAUGGGGCUGGCCUGCUUUCUGGGGCAGGAGGUCGGCCUACCAGGGAGAGGCUGCUCGGGCGGAUGUGCUCCUGUGGCCCAGGUGAUCCCCGGUCAAGCAGAGGAUCCAGAGAGCUUUGGACGCUCAGCCCGCAAGGUCCCCGAGCAUGCGGCCUUUGAGGUUGGGGCUGAGGAGUCACAGUGCAGCAGAGCCCAGGGUGCGCAGUGUGGACAGCAUGGCCACCGACUGGACACAGGGAGGCCAGGCCCCGGAGUGGCAGCAUGGCCCACCAGGCCACGCCGGCAAGUGCGCAGAGAAGGAAAAGGUGCCCUCUCAGGACUGUCGAAACGGGAAGGUGCCGCCCCUUCUGGGGGAGGACGUGGAAGACGCCCCUUCCUGAACUCAGCCAGGGUCAGGGCAGGCACCGGGGGCAGGUGCUGGCUGGACCCGACCCUCAGCCCUGGGGUGCAACCGAUGGCGGCUGGACCUGCCCUCACCCUGAUCUCCGGGUGAGCUGCGGGCCCCUUCCUCAAUCCGGAUCUCGGGGUGAACUGCGGGCCCCUUCCUUAAUCCGGAUCUCGGGGUGAGCUGCGGGGCCCUUCCUCAAUCCGGAUCACCGGGUGAGCUGCGGGGCCCUUCCUCAAUCCGGAUCUCCGGGUGAACUGCGGGCCCCUUCCUCAAUCCGGAUCACCGGGUGAGCUGCGGGGCCCUUCCUCAAUCCGGAUCUCCGGGUGAACUGCGGGCCCCUUCCUCAAUCCCGAUCUCGGGGUGAACUGCGGGCCCCUUCCUCAAUCCAGAUCUCCGGGUAAGCUGCGGGCCCCUUCCUCAAUCCGGAUCUCCGGGUGAACUGCGGGCCCCUUCCUCAAUCCCGAUCUCGGGGUGAACUGCGGGCCCCUUCCUCAAUCCAGAUCUCCGGGUGAGCUGCGGGCCCCUUCCUCAAUCCGGAUCUCCGGGUGAACUGCGGGCCCCUUCCUCAAUCCCGAUCUCGGGGUGAACUGCGGGCCCCUUCCUCAAUCCAGAUCUCCGGGUAAGCUGCGGGCCCCUUCCUCAAUCCCGAUCUCCGGGUGAGCUGCGGGCCCCUUCCUCAAUCCCGAUCUCCGGGUGAACUGCGGGCCCCUUCCUCAAUCCCGAUCUCGGGGUGAACUGCGGGCCCCUUCCUCAAUCCGGAUCUCGGGGUGAGCUGCGGGGCCCUUCCUCAAUCCCGAUCUCGGGGUGAGCUGCGGGCCCCUUCCUCAAUCCCGAUCUCGGGGUGAGCUGCGGGGCCCUGUCUCUGUCCUCCCCAUGGAUGGUCCAGAUCCUGGGAAGGGUCAGGGUCCCUUGGGCCCCAGAGGCAGUGCUGCCAGGCUCUGGAGUUCCAGCACAGUGUGCGCCAUCCUGUAACCCCAGGCCCUCUGUAGACACCUGCUCUCCAUUCGUGGUCUCCCCCUCCCUCACUGAUUCCCUCCAGGACUCCUCCCUCAGCCUGGAAUCCGCCUCACUGGAGCCCCAGCUCCUGCCCUCUGCAGCCCUGUUCUGUGAGUGUCCUGAACUCUCCAGCGAGGCCAGGCCUGGGGCUGAGCUCUUCCUUCCGAGGCAUUAACCUUGGAUUGCUGGGACGGAAUGAGUUUGGCAUAGCUGCAGGAUGUCUGUUCUAACAGCAUGCCCAGGCAGCUCUCCUAGGCCUGAUUUCAGCAGAAUUGGCCUCUCUGCCCAGGAACCUGUGUGGAAGCUGAAAGCAUGGCUGGGAGGGGAGCUGGAUGUCAGCCCUGUGUUCCCAUCUCGGCCAAAUGUUGGAGCGGAUCCACUCACAGGCUCUAAACACGCACACGCGGAGGGUUUUGGGAACUUCUGCAGAGCGGCCUCCACAACUCAAGUAUUUGUUUUAACGUCACCGGCUGACUUCGGGCUCUGGAGUCACCUGCAGAACGCCCAGUGCGCCCUCUCUAGUCCCUGCCUCCCUUUGACCAUUGACUUGUCCAGUGGAUGCCGGCAUCAAACCAGCAGCGUCUGUGACAAGGACCUGGGUUGCUGGCUGCAGAAACCUCAUCAAUGCAGAGAGGCUCACGAACAAUCCUCCACCUCUGGGCGUGCCAGGCAGAGCAGGGCAGGGGUGGUGGGCAAGGGCUGCUCGGGAUCAGGCAGGGGGAGCCAGCUGCGAGCUUCCUCGGCCCAGAGCUCUCCUUUGCCAUAAGCAGUAAGAACUGGGCCCUUCAGAGGGAAGCAGACAGUCAGGGUCCAACGUGGCCUCCAGUAAAACAGUGUUGGGGUUCUCCGUACCUCAAAUGAUGCCCCCUUGGGCCUUUAGCCAACCUGGGGUUCCAGAAAUAAAUGUGGGAGGAGGAACCCCCACUAAGGAGGUGACUUCCUGAACAAAGCAUCCUCCCAAGACCGAGAAUCCGAUAACGCUUCACUCGUACUCCUGGGGGGAGAAGAGUCUCUUCCAAUCAGGCCAAGGUGGCCGUGGGUUUGAUGAGCUGUUGAAUUUCCUGCUGGAAAUUAGCAGCCCAGAGCCCGGCUUCUACAGCAAGGUCAGGCAGCGCUCACGGCACGGACGCGGGAGUGAGAGGGCUGGCGUCGGGGUUUACGGAGUGUAGGGUGCAGGGAGCUUCGUAUUCGCUCUGUGUCUCCAUUUUGCUUUUUGCAGAACGGGCUUUGGUGUGGGUCGAACAUGAACAGGGCAGGCACAGAGCGUGUGCUCUGUGUGAGUCAAUGUUCUGUGCUUUCAUCUUUCAGAGGUGGGGCUAAUAACCUCCUUUACAAACGCGUCAAUCAUUUCUGCCCAGAAUCUCCCAGUUCCUAAGCACUUGGCCUGGGGCUCCACUCCUGACCCCAGAACUGACGGGGUUCCCUCAGGCAGCAGGCUCCAGGAAAACGAACAAAUGAAAACACUUUACUCUUUUUUUUUAAUGGAAUAAGUGAGUCACAUUUUUUUCAGAAGUAACAUUCCAACGUUAGUACAUAGGGUGAAGUCACAAACAGCAGAGUGACUGCCCGCGACACCUUCGUAGCCCUUGAAGUACAGUGACAGCCACAACGCCCCUCCCUGAACGCAUGGGCGGUGCUUCCUGCAGCUGGGACCAGAUUCCCGUGUCUCCAGCCGAGCUCCAGGCCUGGAAGGGGCCUGCACUGAAGGGCCGUGUUGCAUGAAAAGCGUGGUUUCUCUGUGGCACAGACACACCCCUUGGCUCCCUGGAGGAAUGGAGACCCUAUGUGGCAGACAGUGGCCACUAACCAGGUCCAUGGCUUCCCGGUCAGGCUCUGCAGGAGCUGCGGCCUCACCCGGGUCCUAGGCUGUUCACCCCCGUGGCAUAAAGGCCAACCGAGUUGGCGGAGAAAGGAAAUCACCUUAUGCACAGUGAGAGCUCUGCUGGACAUCGAGAGGGUCGUGGCGACACCUGUCGUCUGCAGUGACCUGUGCGCAGCAGCUCUGUGGCGCGCGGCAGCACCAGGGCAUCCGCACGAACCUCCUGUCUGAAUAGAACAGAUGCUGUUGCAGGCCUGGGCUAGUCGAGAGACAGAACUGACUCAGGGUAUUUCGCAGGGAGGAGAUGCCAUGCAGGGAACUGGCGGAAGAAGGAAGGCACCAACCCCAAGGGUGCAGGGCAGCGCAGAGCUUAGCACAGCAGGAAGGCAGCCCGCUGCUCUUCAUCUUGGGCUGGAGGAAAAAGACGGAGGCGAAGCCGGGGCGUCAGUGAAGGCAGGUGCUCCCCGAGAAGCCAGACACACCGGAGGGGGCCAGACAGAGGCCGAGCUGUGGCCUCCCAUCUCUCCGGCCCUCCAUGUCCUGUCGGGGCCUCCCACUGGCCAGGGCUGCUGUGGGUGGGCCUGUUCAGGUUCUUGACAUCACUGCACAAAAUAAUUUGGGAGCAAGUUCAAUAAGAGUGGGCAAAGAAGUUUAUUGCAAAGCGAAAGUGCGCUCCGAUAGCUGGGCGGGAGCGGGCGGCUCCGGAAUGAGAGAGCCAGGCCGGCCCUGGAAACUCCUCGAUGGGGGUCUCCCGUGACUGUCACUGAAGGAGCAGGAUGUUAUCGUGCUGCGGGUGGGCUCCGGGGCCUGCACGUGCCGUUGCUGUACAUGCUGGUACAUACAGUGCAUGUCUCAUUUGUGUUUUAAAUCUCGGCCCAGCAGUGUGCUUUUCACUAUCAUGGUGAGCCAAGUUCACCGUAAGAAUAUGGUUCUUGGCUCGGCCUUGGGAACUUUUCCUCCAACCGAGUCACUCCUCCUUCAGCAAGGAAGCUGCACACUGCAGGUGACCAGAUAUAUCUGCGCCAGCCCCAUUCCGGAGUAUCUGUUACUGACUGGGGCCCUGUGCCAACCUACUGGCCCCAUGUGGCUUGCUCCCAGCCGCCUGGAGGUCAUGCCCAUUCCCUCAGUCACCGACUGCUGGAGGACUGCCCACAAACGGGUGAUGAGGAGGCGGGGGUGCCGCACCCCUGGGAAGCAAAGAGGAGCAAAUCAGCGUCAGUGGGUGGGGCCAAGGGCAGGGGCAAGCGGCCCGCAUGUCCAUGCAUCUUUGAGUUUCCGGGAAGGGAAUUUCAAAUGUUUGCUGUUUUUAAUACAUUGUGGGGCUUGGGGGCCAAUAUUUUAUCAUGGUAAAAUACACAUAACACAAAUUGACUAUCUGAACCAUUUU